rnacentral:rRNA from 1 species
GAUGAACGUUGGCGGCGUGCCUAAUACAUGCAAGUCGAGCGAACAGACAAGGAGCUUGCUCCUUUGACGUUAGCGGCGGACGGGUGAGUAACACGUGGGUAACCUACCUAUAAGACUGGGAUAACUUCGGGAAACCGGAGCUAAUACCGGAUAAUAUUUCGAACCGCAUGGUUCGAUAGUGAAAGAUGGUUUUGCUAUCACUUAUAGAUGGACCCGCGCCGUAUUAGCUAGUUGGUAAGGUAACGGCUUACCAAGGCGACGAUACGUAGCCGACCUGAGAGGGUGAUCGGCCACACUGGAACUGAGACACGGUCCAGACUCCUACGGGAGGCAGCAGUAGGGAAUCUUCCGCAAUGGGCGAAAGCCUGGCGGAGCAACGCCGCGUGAGUGAUGAAGGUCUUCGGAUCGUAAAACUCUGUUAUUAGGGAAGAACAUACGUGUAAGUAACUAUGCACGUCUUGACGGUACCUAAUCAGAAAGCCACGGCUAACUACGUGCCAGCAGCCGCGGUAAUACGUAGGUGGCAAGCGUUAUCCGGAAUUAUUGGGCGUAAAGCGCGCGUAGGCGGUUUUUUAAGUCUGAUGUGAAAGCCCACGGCUCAACCGUGGAGGGUCAUUGGAAACUGGAAAACUUGAGUGCAGAAGAGGAAAGUGGAAUUCCAUGUGUAGCGGUGAAAUGCGCAGAGAUAUGGAGGAACACCAGUGGCGAAGGCGACUUUCUGGUCUGUAACUGACGCUGAUGUGCGAAAGCGUGGGGAUCAAACAGGAUUAGAUACCCUGGUAGUCCACGCCGUAAACGAUGAGUGCUAAGUGUUAGGGGGUUUCCGCCCCUUAGUGCUGCAGCUAACGCAUUAAGCACUCCGCCUGGGGAGUACGACCGCAAGGUUGAAACUCAAAGGAAUUGACGGGGACCCGCACAAGCGGUGGAGCAUGUGGUUUAAUUCGAAGCAACGCGAAGAACCUUACCAAAUCUUGACAUCCUUUGACAACUCUAGAGAUAGAGCCUUCCCCUUCGGGGGACAAAGUGACAGGUGGUGCAUGGUUGUCGUCAGCUCGUGUCGUGAGAUGUUGGGUUAAGUCCCGCAACGAGCGCAACCCUUAAGCUUAGUUGCCAUCAUUAAGUUGGGCACUCUAAGUUGACUGCCGGUGACAAACCGGAGGAAGGUGGGGAUGACGUCAAAUCAUCAUGCCCCUUAUGAUUUGGGCUACACACGUGCUACAAUGGACAAUACAAAGGGCAGCGAAAUCGCGAGGUCAAGCAAAUCCCAUAAAGUUGUUCUCAGUUCGGAUUGUAGUCUGCAACUCGACUACAUGAAGCUGGAAUCGCUAGUAAUCGUAGAUCAGCAUGCUACGGUGAAUACGUUCCCGGGUCU